GCCCCUCCUGAAAGCCACCUUGUGCUAGUGGCAGUCUACAGUUCCUUCACUCAACCCCACGUUGCCUCCAUAUUGAAUGUGCCAAGUCUACAUGCAUUAGUGAUAGCUACAGUGAAGAAAAAGAAGAGCAUGAAGAAAAGCACAGGGAACCCUAGGAAAGCCAAGAGGGGGGAAAGGGAGAAGGACAGGGAGAAAGAGAGAAGAAAGAGCCAGCAUGAGGAGCUGGGAAAGUUCUAUUCUUAACCUGGUAGAGCUCAUAGUGAGUUCAUUUUAGUUUGUUUUAAACUGGAAAAAGACUUUUUAUACAAGCUUGCUUUCAUAUAAUACUGUCUACUGCUAAUCUAUAUGAAUGCAUGUGUAUAUACACCAAAGUGCAUAUAUAUAGUAGAUUAAUACAUGCUAAAUACAGUUCAUGCAUAUGCUAACACACAGGCUCCUGUGACAUUUCCUUCUUGUACUUCUUUUGCCCCUUCCUCAGCUUGGAGUCCCCAUUUCCAGAGGUGAUCUGUCCUGUGAUUCGCACCAGUUACCUGAUCAAUCAUUCCUACUCUAUUGGCCAGUGAUACACACAUUGGCACCGAACAGCAUUCGGUCUUCGUAUAACCCGCAAAUAAAAAGUUAAAGACAACACACAUAGUGCAACCUUGCAGCAACCAUGUCCAGUUUUCUCUGGCUCACUUUCAGUAACACAGUUGUUUUUACUGUUCAGG